rnacentral:misc_RNA from 1 species
UAAGUUUUGUUAAAUAGGUUAUGUGAUUAUGUUGUUUAAAGUAUAACUACGAUUUUUUAUUGUAAAUAUCAAAAAUUUCUAAUAUGUUUAUCGCGCUCCUUAAGCGCCAAUAUUAGUUUAAAAAUUAAGAAUGGAACGAAAUGGCGCGAGAGAAAUGGAAGAACGAAUGUGUAUAAGAGCUAGUGGAAAAGCAUUGAAAAAGUAUGGUAGUACAGCCAAGCAUGUUACACGAACUGAAAAUUUAAUAAAACAUACUGUAUCAGCAACUGAUACUCUUCAAGGAAUUGCUUUAAAAUAUGGAGUCACAACUGAACAAAUUAGAAGAGUUAACAGAUUAUGGGCUUCUGAUAGUUUAUUCUUAAGAGAACAUUUACUUAUUCCUGUUACGCCAGAAAGCCCAUUAUCAUUACCAGUGGACAAUACUAACGAAACUGAACAUAGUGGAAUUCAAAAUGUGUCUAGUCCAUCUUCAAUAGCAUCAUCUAUAGAUGACGAUAAUUCAGUUAAUGACUUCUUAGCUAAAAUGGAUUGUUCUAUAGCUAGUGUUAAAAGAGAAGUAAAGCGUACUCAGGGGAAUAGUGAAUUUUGCACAGAUGACAAUGACCUCUAUAUACAGCAACGUAGAGCAUCUGCUAAAUUGCGUAAUUCACUUCCUGUAACUUCAAAUAUAUACACAGCACCGUCUACAUCAGAACCAUUAAGAUCGUCAUCUUCUAAUGAUAUGCAUAACUUCCCAACUGCUGUAGUUAUGACUCAGGGUAGAAAAGUGAAAACAUCAUUACAGAGACUUCAAAAAGAACAAGAUGAAAUAUUCCAAUUGUAGCAGCUAAAUUUUACUAGAUCCUAACAUGUUAUGAACUAAUGGCAUCAUUAAGACAUUUGAAGAAAAGAUAUAUUAAUAAUGAACAAUGUACUGGAAUCGGUAGAAGACUAUUUCAUAUUUGAAAUUUGUUGAUCCAGUAUUAAUAUCAAAUGCCAAAUUAGGCAGAUAAAUGCAGCUUUGAUAACAAAUCCCUUAUCUUUAUUCAUAAAAAUUAUUAAUUUAAAUAUAUGAAAUAUUCAUAGUUUAUAAUGAAGAAUAAUGUUAGGUUUAUCCAGAACGUAAAUGCUCAAUUUAUAAUUUUAAUU